rnacentral:rRNA from 1 species
AUUGAACGCUGGCGGCAUGCCUAACACAUGCAAGUCGAGCGGAUGAAGGGGGCUUGCUCCUGGAUUCAGGGGCGGCCGGUUGGGUAAUGCCUAGGAAUCUGCCUUAUCGUGGGGGAUAAGGUCCGGAAACGGGAUCUAAUCCCGCAUACGUCGAUAGGUAGAAAUUGGGGGAGCUUGCGUCCUAUCGCUUUCUGCUGAGCCUAGUUCGGUUUAGCUAGUUGGUGGGGUAACGGCCUACAAAGGCGACGAUCCGUAACUGGUCUGAGAGGAUGAUCAGUCACACUGGAACUGAGACACGGUCCAGACUCCUACGGGAGGCAGCAGUGGGGAAUAUUGGGCAAUGGGCGAAAGCCUGAUCCAGCAAUGCCGCGUGUGUGAAGAAGGUCUUCGGAUUGUAAAGCACUGUAAGUUGGGAGGAAGGGAAGUAAGUUUAUACGUUGCUAUAUUGACGGUACCAACAGAAUAAGCACCGGCUAACUUCGUG